rnacentral:rRNA from 1 species
UACGAAGGGGGCUAGCGUUGCUCGGAAUCACUGGGCGUAAAGGGCGCGUAGGCGGCCAUUCAAGUCAGAGGUGAAAGCCCAAGGCUCAACCUUGGAACUGCCUUUGAUACUGUUUGGCUUGAGACCGGUAGAGGUAAGUGGAACUGCGAGUGUAGAGGUGAAAUUCGUAGAUAUUCGCAAGGACACCAGUGGCGAAGGCGGCUUACUGGACCGGUUCUGACGCUGAGGCGCGAAAGCGUGGGGAGCAAACAGG